CCUACGGGAGGCAGCAGUGGGGAAUAUUGCGCAAUGGGCGAAAGCCUGACGCAGCGACGCCGCGUGAGGGAUGAAGGUCUUCGGAUCGUAAACCUCUGUCAGCAGGGAAGAACGGUCACUGUGCUAAUCAGCAGUGAAUUGACGGUACCUGCAAAGGAAGCACCGGCUAACUCCGUGCCAGCAGCCGCGGUAAUACGGAGGGUGCGAGCGUUAAUCGGAAUUACUGGGCGUAAAGCGCUCGUAGGCGGUAUGUCAAGUCAAGGGUGAAAUCCCCGCGCUCAACGUGGGAACUGCCUUUGAAACUGGCAGACUGGAGUGUGUGAGAGGAUAGUGGAAGUCCAGGUGUAGGAGUGAAAUCCGUAGAUACCUGGAGGAACAUCAGUGGCGAAGGCGACUAUCUGGCACAUAACUGACGCUGAGGAGCGAAAGCGUGGGUAGCAAACAGGAUUAGAUACCCCAGUAGUC
rnacentral:rRNA from 1 species